rnacentral:lncRNA from 1 species
GGAAAGCAGACUUAUUUGCAUUAAUAAAGAAACCUCUUUAUUAAGCAAAAUACUCCACUUGAGCUAUGAUUUACAACAAAAUUCAUUACUAACCUUGCAUCAGGCUUGUCAAUGUGAGCCUGGAAACAUUGUUCCUCCCGGAACUCUGAGGCAAUGAAUUUAUGCGAAUCCAGCAUUUGGCAAAUGAUGCUUGCUGGACAUGCAAAUUUUAUCUUGAUUUGUGACAUGUCCAAUCAAUAUAUGCAAAUGAAAGAGAGCAUAAAAUCUGGUGCAUUUUCUUUACAAGUUGGAAAAAUAGCAAGAAAGAGGUUAGAAUUGCAAAUAUGCAAAAAGAUCCUCCAUUGCCAACAAAAUAGAAUUGCUGUGUGAUAGAUUGCUCAAGAAUUGGGCUUAAACAAAUCUACAAUCAGAAUCUUCCACAAACACUAUAAGG